CAGCAGCCGCGGUAAUACCGGCGGCCCGAGUGGCGGUCACUAUUAUUGGGCUUAAAGCGUCCGUAGCCGGGUUGGGAAGUCCUCCGGGAAAUCUGGCCGCUUAACGGUCAGAAUGCCGGAGGAUACUCCCAGCCUAGGGAGCGGGAGAGGCCGAGGGGAUUCCCGGAGGAGGGGGGAAAUCCUAUAAUCCCGGGAGGACCACCUGUGGCGAAGGCGCUCGGCUGGAACGCGUCCGACGGUGAGGGACGAAGGCCAGGGGAGCAAACCGGAUUAGAUACCCGGGUAGUCCUGGCUGUAAACGAUGCGGACUUUGUGUCGGACAAGCUAUGAGCUUGUCCGGUGCCGGAGGGAAACCGUUAAGUCCGCCGCCUGGGGAGUACGGCCGCAAGGCUGAAACUUAAAGGAAUUGGCGGG
rnacentral:rRNA from 1 species